GGAUGAUGCCCCAGGCAGUGAUUGAAGCAUAAAUUCCACCGAUCAUCCAGAACAUACAGAGCCAGCUGAGGUGCUCUCCUCUCUUAUCCAUCUGCAGAAACUCUGAGAAAUACGAGUACACGAUCGGGACGGAGCCGCCAAUCCUGCAAGAUGAGUCUGAAGAAGAUGAAGAACCCAUAUCCCUGAGCAAAGGACGAGAGGAAGGCGGUGAUGCAGUUGAUGGUUAGAGCAAUGAUCAGACAUUUCCGUCGUCCCGUUUUAUCAGCCAUUCCUCCCCAAACGAAUGCUCCGAACAUCAUUCCCAGGAAAACGAUCAGACCUGAGGGAGAAGUUUAAAGAAGAAGAAGACCUGAUGUGGAGCGGAAGAUCAUUCCAAAGCCUCGGUGCAACAACUGAAAAACCCCUGAGACUUCAGCCAAGAUCUUGGGGCCACAAGGACUAAAUGUCUGGAUGACCUCGCAGAUAUAUCUUGGAGCGAGACCAUGCAUGGCUUCAAAAACAAACAAGAACAUUUUCAACUCAAUGCGGAAUCUCAUCGGGAACCCGUGGAGAGACACGAGUAAAGAACAGCACACACUUCAGGACUAAAAGUGAAUCGAGAGCUGAAUCUCUGAUGGAGCUGUUCAGUUUCUGAAGAAAAACUGCGAUUAUUUAACACUACAGAUAAAAAAAGAGCAGGGGAGAGAAAUCUGUUUAUCUAUCUAUAUAUCUAUCUGUUGUUGUUGUC